rnacentral:rRNA from 1 species
CAAUCCAUGAGUAAAGUGGCGACCGGGUGAGUAACACGUGACUAACCUACCUUCGAGUGGGGGAUAACCUCGGGAAACCGGGGCUAAUACCGCAUAACAUCUUUGGAGUGGAAAUUCUGGAGAUCAAAGGAGCAAUUCGCUGGAAGAGGGGGUCGCGGCUGAUUAGCUAGUUGGCGGGGUAACGGCCCACCAAGGCUUGGAUCGGUAGCCGGCCUGAGAGGGCGCACGGCCACACUGGAACUGAAACACGGUCCAGACUCCUACGGGAGGCAGCAGUGGGGAAUUUUGCGCAAUGGGGGAAACCCUGACGCAGCAACGCCGCGUGGAGGAUGAAGUCCCUUGGGACGUAAACUCCUUUCGACCCGGACGAUAAUGACGGUACGGGUGGAAGAAGCCCCGGCUAACUUCGUGCCAGCAGCCGCGGUAAU